ensembl:snoRNA
UGUCCUUGGCCUGGGUAGAGUGGCACCUAGUUGGUGGUGCCCAUAUUAGCCAGGGACAAAGCAACCCUUUGUUCAUCCCAGCUUGGCUUUUGAUCUGUACCUAUACCUGGUUCAUGCCUUAGACACAUGG